ACGAGUUUGAUCAUGGCUCAGAUUGAACGCUGGCGGCAUGCUUUACACAUGCAAGUCGAACGGUAACAGGGAGCUUGCUCCGCUGACGAGUGGCGAACGGGUGAGUAAUGCAUCGGAACGUGCCGUGUAAUGGGGGAUAACGUAGCGAAAGUUACGCUAAUACCGCAUACGCCCUGAGGGGGAAAUGGGGGACCGCAAGGCCUCACGUUAUACGAGCGGCCGAUGUCGGAUUAGCUAGUUGGUGGGGUAAAGGCCUACCAAGGCGACGAUCCGUAGCGGGUCUGAGAGGAUGAUCCGCCACACUGGGACUGAGACACGGCCCAGACUCCUACGGGAGGCAGCAGUGGGGAAUUUUGGACAAUGGGGGCAACCCUGAUCCAGCCAUGCCGCGUGAGUGAAGAAGGCCUUCGGGUUGUAAAGCUCUUUCAGGUGGAAAGAAAUCGCAUCUUUUAAUACAGGGUGUGGAUGACGGUACCAUCAGAAGAAGCACCGGCUAACUACGUG
rnacentral:rRNA from 1 species